CACCUGCAACAGUUUCUACGAUUUUCUUUUCAAUCUGUACACGGCGUUCGAUAUAUGCUUCCGUAUCCGGUCAGCUGUAAUGGAUGCCGUAUGCCGAGCUUGCGAACUGCGAACUUGUGUGACUCCCGGUUCAUCCUCUUUGUUCGGGUCAUUGGGUUGGUGUUGGUCACCAUAUUCUGAAUGUUUCACCUAUCGUUGCAGUGUACUGUUCUUGAUCUGCUGCGAAGCGACGAACCGCAACGGCAGUCACUCGCCUCAGCGAACUUCUGUCUGCUGCAUCUCAAAGGAGCAUGGGGACCUGAUAAUACCUUCAACUAAAGAAACCAAAUGUGCUCUCGUGUGGUCCUGACGGAAAAGUAGUAUCAACAAGAACCCUCCACUUUUUCGACCAAGUUAUCGUUAUGAGAUCCUUCUGAUGGCUUCUUACUAGGCUAUGCCGCUCCGAAGCAUUGAGAUGACGAAGCGUCGUGGUAGCUGCACCUCUGCCUUCGAAAGAUGAAUCAGUCAUUCCACACUGUGCUUACUGGCUUUGUGUAGAGUCUGGCAAAUCCGACAGACUUGGACUGCCUUUUUCAAGAAAGUUUGAAAUAGCAUCCCUUAUGCACCUGCAUUUCAAUUCCAAUCUGUAUUACAAGAAUGACAGACCACUCAACAGAGAUGAACAUCUGAAAGUGAAAGAGCUGGAAUGAAGAUACGUUAAUCUGUGUCAAAGGUUCUUGGUAUGUGUGCGAGUCGAGGACAUAGGUCUCAAGCUUAUUCCUGUCUUCAGAAGAGGUGACAAAUAUGCUCCUUCUAUCUAUUAACCAGCUCCACUUUUUAGGGUUCCCUGUAAACUAAUGGAGCACAUCAUGUACUACCACGUUGUCAACUAAGUUGACUCUGUCAAUUUCUUUUUUUAAAUUCCAGCAUGGCUUUAGAAAAGGGUAUUCAGGCAAAACUAACGUAGUGGAAUUCGUUCACAGCAUUUCAAACUGUCUUGAUUUCUGGGUCCAUGUAGAUGUAGUAUUCUUUUUAUUUUGUAAGGGCCUUUGACACUGUGCUCUACGCUCGCGUGUUGGCCAAAGUAGCCUAAUUAAAAUUUGAUCCUGCUACCUGGAUAUGCAGUUUCUCAACUAACCGUAACUGUGGCGACAUCUCGUGAGGAGAACCUAUCAUAUCGCCACCAUGCAGCAUUUGUUAUAUUACAAUCGCUUCACAUUUUAAUCUAGUCAAAAGCAAGGCCUUUUGGUGAUCGGUCUUGUAUAAUUACGUGCCCAUCCGUUAUGUAACACCACACUGGGUUCUUCAGCCUAUGAGAGAGAAAUAAAUAUAUUGCCAAGUAAAUUGUCUACAAGGCUCGUUAUUCCAUUUCGCCACACUACCACAAGCAAUUGUUAGAGUAGUGGCCCAGGGCAUGAAGCUCGCCACUAAUCAUCAUUCAAACAAAGUUCAUAAUGUAAAAUGCUUUACUCAGAACACUGGCUUAACACAACAAUUAAGAAUAAAGAGAGUAAACGUUUCAUUGCCUAUCCAGGUGGCAUCAUCCCUCCAACAGAGAACAAUCAAAAACAACAUCAAAGGAGUCAAAUCGGUGGUCCGCAUUCCUUUCAUGCAAUGUAUUUCAUACGCUGUUUGGAGGGCACUGUGCCCUUCAGGCAUUUUGACUGUGCAUAUCAAGUUGAGUGCAUAGAAUCUGAUGCAACCUACAUUGGCGAGAUAGACAAAAGACGUGGGACAAGACUAAAAGAGCCAGUUGCCAGGGCUACUAAUGCUUAGCUUAACUAAACAGGACCGAAUCAGUCUACCACUGCUCUCCUAAGGGACAUAUAUUUUGAUGGUGCAGUAACCUUUGCUCAUGACUAGCGAUGGGACCCUAGAAAGUUCUUAGAAUCCUGCUUUAUCAGGCGUGAUGCUUCAGCCUGUAAUACAUACCGUGGCCCCCUAUCGGAUGUGUAAGAUUCCCUCUUAGAUAGGCUGAUGUGCUCAUCUUUGGCCUCUGUUGUACUGAUGAUGCCACCCGGAUAGGCGACAAAACGUUUACGCUCUGUUUUUAUUCGUUGUGUUGAGCGGUGUUUGCAGUAAAGGACGCUACAUUAUGAGGUUGUCACCCGGCUUUUGGAAUAUAUUUUCAAAUAAAGUUGUUGUUUUACAAAGCUCAAUACAUUGCAGAAAUCAUUCUUGUUGCCUAUUGUUUUGGGGGUGCCAUUCUAGCAGUCACAUCAAGCAGUGAAGGACCAAUUUAAAAAGUAAAGGCAGUCUGAUUUAUGUUCUUGCCGACAUGGCACAGCGUAUGUACGAGGUAGCUCCAUUUCAGAAGCCUGAGAACACUCAAAGCAAUUAGUGUGCUAGCAUCAGAUAUGGUGUACAGCAUUACAUAUUUGCUUUUGCUAGGGCAACUAAGAAGGGUGGAUAGAAAGGCAGUUACAACCUGUUUCCACAAAAGACACUCAGAUUCAUUAGCAAUUUCCUCUAAGAGAGCCAAGGCUUUUUCUAGAUUACUAGAACAUGGGUACCUGGUUAUAAAUAACAAGAAUUCAUCUACCAGAAGUCAGUGUUUCACACACCCUGCUUUCCAUCAACACUAUUAAAAGGUGUGACCCCCAAACCUGCACAAAAUUCCUGGAGAGUCUUUACUGGACACUGUUGCUGUCCCUCUCAACAGGUGCUCCCUAUGAACCCGAUUCACAGUUCUGGAUGCACUGCCUGAGCUAACUUCAGCAUGCUUUCCCAACACGAAUGGUAACUGCUAUGAGGAGUGUUGUACUUACUGAAAGCAACAUGAAAUGCUGUACCUUGACAGGUAACGUUGAUAUCCUUCUUAAGACCGUAGAGAGAUGUUCCUUGCUCCCUUUCUUCCAAAUCUUACUAUCAGACGCAAGCCCACUUGCCACCAAGCCAAUGAGAUGUGCCUCACAGUCAGUGCAAUCAAGGGAAUCAAUCACUGAGGCUCAGAAAAGCUGUUUUCCAUCGGGAUCUGAUCCAGCACUGAGCCGUGAGUAGCCCCGUGAAAGUACCAAGGCUUCUUCGAAUUUUAAAUGUGCCAGCAUUUGUUUUCCUCCCCUCCUUCUUUUUAUGUAGUAGCUGAUUACUUUAGCCUUGUACUGCUUUGGAGAUUGUUGAGAUGAUGUAAGAGGUGGAACUAGGCUUUAUGCAAAAUGAGGCAAAGUGUGACUAUGUACAAAUCUUCUGAGAAUGUCUAUGUAUCAUUCACACAAAGAGAGGAUACGUGUUACAUCUUUUUCCGGUUUUGAUAUUUAUUUAUUUAUGAAUAUGUCUCAAAGGCUAUUGCAGGCAUUACAUGAGGGGGGACAUCAACAUGGGUCACUUAACAAAUACGGAAGUUACAAGGAACAUACAUAUUUGGAAGACAAGACUCUAUUUUUUGUUCGUUCAUCAGUCUUGCUCAAGAAAUUGUUCACUGUAGCAAUGGUACACAAUGUCACGAAAGGAGUGCUCAUCUAUCGUUCCGCAAGACUCAUUAAAAAGGACUAGUGUUGUGUUUCAACACAACAUGUUGAACUCAUGAACCAUGCAUCAUCCUGAGAGCUAUAGAUCAUCCUAAAUACAGAUGCUGAAUUAUUUUAAAUGUGAUAGACGAGCUGUGCGAAGAGGUACCCCCAGUUAGGAUCUUGGGUACUUGAAGCCUGUGGCAUUUUCUGUGGGAAAGGCUUGCCAGACCCUCUUCACUGCACAGGCUGGGAUGACCAUGAUCUUGUUUUUUCCAAGCUUGUGCCAUACUCACCUUGCAAACUGGCGAUACGCAGUGUAUCUGCAUCGUCUACACAGAUGUACAUAAAAUAUAGUUUAGGCAAAUAGGUAACCGGUUACAGUACAGUGUGUGUGCAUUGUCAUUUCUACAUGUACCUGAGAGUAACUGCAGUUUACCUGCCCACACCUUGUACAUUACUACACAUGCUGUGUUCUUUUAGAACCCAAAAUUGUUUUGCUUUUCACUGAAUCGACAAUCAAGAACACUCAAUAUCGCUAAAAACCUACGCUAAAACCUUAUGCACAGGGCAAUACAUAAAAACGUGACUCAGGACACAGCACACUGACAAUUACAAAACUGCCUAUAUUGGUUUUCUCCAGUUCAGAGUCGUGUACUGUAUAGCCUUUUUAUGUGCUGCGCCCUGUACUGGAGCUUUUAACGACUCUAUUGCAUGACCAAACCAGUUUUGGGCGCCCAAAUUUUAACAUCGUUCGACAAGGACACAUGUGACUUACUUGUGAAUACAGUCGCUCAUAGGUUCGCGCUGCCCACGGAGUUCAAUAUGCGACCUUCAGGACAGUCAUAUUGAAGAAUAGAAGUUGGAAAUCUUUGUGGGUUGUAAUGCACUGAUACUGCAGUCAUUCGGCAGUGUUUUCGAGCUCCUUGCAGCACAAGCAUUCGAUCUCCUUCGGCAUUAUGACACACCAGCCACACCGGCACCAUGAACAGCAAGUGCGCAUUAGAUAUCAGAACACGAAAUUUCUGAGAACGUUUACAUGUUCGAUCACAGUGUGCGUUAAAAAGCUCAUCGCUUACCUGAAGACAGUCGACUCAUGCUGUUUGCUUCAUCUGUAACUGAUGUUCGUAGAGCUCUAACUUCGUCUCGCAUUCACGGCAUCGGCGACGUUUCGAAAGCCUACCGAGCUGUUCAGCACGCAGAAUUUUCUUCUCGAUGUCUCGAUCGCAGAAAGGUCAGAAAGAAGUUCCGGGCUCGAAGUCUCCGCAUUUCUGCCUUCGACGUCCAUAUUGAAGAUCGCUUUCCGGACGGAUGCCGGCGCUCUCACAAACUCACUAACAACAGAACUUCCGGUCCGGGCGCCCAAUGAAACGUGGCCCUCGUGACUUCGUCACACACACGGAAAUUGGCGGAUGUCCACUGCAAAGAGGCUAGAUUUCGGCCCCGAUUGCGCGAGUUGAGGGGGAAAAGCGAAGCCGGUUUUGAGCUCCCUGUUUGGCAAACUUUGCCUCCGCGCACAGCCAAAAUAUUUCGCGUGUGGCUUGGAGGCAUAUUAUACCUUCGUAAUAGAUGCAAACGAAAUAUUUGUCGAACUUCUGGUCAGAGUCCCUUUAAGACACCGAUAAUGCCGCACGGUACAGCAGAUUUAUCAUUGUCAGCCAUAUUUCAUUUGUUAAAAUUUGUCGUCAUAUUUGUUCAAAAAUAAAAGCACAAGUCGCCAUACUUGAAUUUAUCCCUUGAAUUGCUUACCGCGAGCAUCUGCAAAUGUUGCGCAGGCUUUUGCACUGUACUAAUCGCAAAAGCAUAUCUGAUUACAAUAAAUAUUUCAAGAGGAAGUCAUUUAAAGGACAACGGAAACGAAAUUUGUCCAUUGCAAAAAUGGGACCGAACAAGGUGUAAAUGCAUAAUGUAAAAAACCCCGAGACUAGGGA